rnacentral:rRNA from 1 species
AGCAGCCGCGGUAAUUCCAGCUCCAAUAGCGUAUAUUAAAGUUGUUGCAGUUAAAAAGCUCGUAGUUGAAUUUCGGGGUCAGUAGGCUGGUCGUGCCAAUGGUAUGUACUGGACUCACUGAUUCCUCCUUCCUGAUGAACCGUAAUGCCAUUAAUUUGGUGUUGCGGGGAAUCUGGACUGUUACUUUGAAAAAAUUAGAGUGUUUAAAGCAAGCUA